rnacentral:rRNA from 1 species
ACGCUCGACAGUGUCAGCAGCCGCGGUAAUACGAAGGGUCCAAGCGUUGUUCGGAAUUACUGGGCGUAAAGCGCGCGUAGGCGGGUUUGUAAGUCGAUUGUGAAAGCCCUGGGCUCAACCCGGGAACAGCAGUCGAAACUGCAAAUCUUGAAUGUCUGAGAGGAUGGCGGAAUUCCCGGUGUAGUAGUGAAAUACGUAGAUAAUCGGGAAGAACACCUGAGGCGAAGGCGGCUAUCUGGCGGUACAUUGACGCUGAGGCGCGAAAGGCGUGGGGANCGAAACUAGGAUUAGAUACCCUGGUAGUCCACGCCGUAAACUAUGGUUACUAGGUGUCCGGGAUG